rnacentral:rRNA from 1 species
AUGAACGCUGGCGGCGUGCCUAAUACAUGCAAGUCGAGCGAACAGACGAGGAGCUUGCUCCUCUGACGUUAGCGGCGGACGGGUGAGUAACACUUGGAUAACCUACCUAUAAGACUGGGAUAACUUCGGGAAACCGGAGCUAAUACCGGAUAAUAUAUUGAACCGCAUGGUUCAAUAGUGAAAGACGGUUUUGCUGUCACUUAUAGAUGGAUCCGCGCCGCAUUAGCUAGUUGGUAAGGUAACGGCUUACCAAGGCAACGAUGCGUAGCCGACCUGAGAGGGUGAUCGGCCACACUGGAACUGAGACACGGUCCAGACUCCUACGGGAGGCAGCAGUAGGGAAUCUUCCGCAAUGGGCGAAAGCCUGACGGAGCAACGCCGCGUGAGUGAUGAAGGUCUUCGGAUCGUAAAACUCUGUUAUUAGGGAAGAACAAAUGUGUAAGUAACUAUGCACGUCUUGACGGUACCUAAUCAGAAAGCCACGGCUAACUACGUG